rnacentral:rRNA from 1 species
GAUGAACGCUAGCGGCAGGCCUAAUACAUGCAAGUCGGACGGGAUCCAUUGAUAGCUUGCUAUCAAUGGUGAGAGUGGCGCACGGGUGCGUAACGCGUGAGCAACCUGCCUCCAUCAGGGGGAUAGCCUCUCGAAAGAGAGAUUAACACCGCAUAAUAUCAACAGUUCGCAUGUUCAGUUGAUUAAAUAUUUAUAGGAUGGAGAUGGGCUCGCGUGACAUUAGCUAGUUGGUAGGGUAACGGCUUACCAAGGCGACGAUGUCUAGGGGCUCUGAGAGGAGAAUCCCCCACACUGGUACUGAGACACGGACCAGACUCCUACGGGAGGCAGCAGUAAGGAAUAGUGGUCAAUGGGCGGAAGCCUGAACCAGCCAUGCCGCGUGCAGGAUGACUGCCCUAUGGGUUGUAAACUGCUUUUGUACAGGAAUAAACCUAAAUACGAGUAUUUAGCUGAAUGUACUGGAAGAAUAAGGAUCGGCUAACUCCGUG